GGGUUGUUAGCUCAGUCGGUAGAGCACCGCACUUUUAAUGCGAUGGUCCCGGGUUCGAAUCCCGGACAACCCACCA
rnacentral:tRNA from 1 species